rnacentral:rRNA from 1 species
UGGAUUGAGACAAUGUACAAAUGUUAUCGAUAAACAAUUGGAGGGCAAGUCUGGUGCCAGCAGCCGCGGUAAUUCCAGCUCCAAUAGCGUAUAUUAACGUUGUUGCAGUUAAAAAGCUCGUAGUUGAAAUGUGGGAUGAAGUAUAUAAUGAAUUUCUAAUUCAAUUCUAUAUUGAUUCCCCUCUCCAAUUUAUUAUUAUGGGUAUUAAUUUAUUUGUAAUAAGAAUUGGUCAUUUACUGUGAGAAAAUUAGAGUGUUCAAAGCAGGCAUUUGCUUGAAUAGAUUAGCAUGGAAUAAUACUAAAAGGCUUUUAUGGUCGAUUUAAUUGGUUUGUUCAUAAAAGCAAGAUUAAAAGGAACAGUUGGGGGUAUUCAUAUUCAAUAGUUAGAGGUGAAAUUCUCGGAUUUAUGGAAGAUGAACAGGCCCAAAAAGAAAGUUUUAUUGUUGCCUACCCUCCCAAUAA